rnacentral:rRNA from 1 species
GACAGAGGGUGCAAACGUUGUUCGGAAUUACUGGGCGUAAAGCGCGUGUAGGCGGCUAUGCAAGUCGGAUGUGAAAGCCCUCGGCUCAACCGGGGAAGUGCACCCGAAACUGCAAAGCUAGAGUCUCGGAGAGGAUCGUGGAAUUCUCGGUGUAGAGGUGAAAUUCGUAGAUAUUGGGAAGAACACCGGUGGCGAAGGCGGCGACCUGGUCCAUUACUGACGCUGAGGCGCGACAGCGUGGGGAGCAAACAGG